UUUGCCAGUUUUCUCAGGUAAAGGAGCAUUAUAAGACUCAGAAAAUAUGACUGUGUCUUUUUCAGGUUAGUUCAAGACUUCAGGUCCGUAUCAGAGAAGUACGGUCCUUUGAUCAUUUUCAAAUUUCCAUGAAAAUGCUUCCUAUCCUCCCCAAGAACUUCCUAAAACUGAGGCCUUCUCUAGAUGUUUUUUUUCCAAGAGGUAUGAACUAGAGGAAUUGUCAGCAAGCAAUACCAGUCAGCAAAACACAUGGAUUUGGUGGUGUAUAAUACUUGAUGAUGCACAAAAUCUUAAUAUUCUAAACCUUAACCAGUGUUAAAAACAGUAUUAUUCUGACUAUCUUAACUUGAUAUUUCUAACACACUGGAGUUUCUUAAGAGGAAAAAAAAAAAUCUUUACUGACUUUCUCCCUUUCUCAUCACAUACUGAACAGGGUAUUUGCUGUGAUUAGUUCAAAGUUAUUCAAGCAUUGUUUUAAACUUUAGUGGGCUAGUAAGAACCCCACUGAUGAUCUAGUAACAGAGCAGCAUUAUUAUUAUUAUAAAUGAAUACAUUAUUACUGCAUUUUUUCUUUGUCUUUAAAGGAAACACACUUUACAGAAGCAACUUCUCAUAAAGAUUGCCAAAGGACACUUGAAAAUGAGAACACGUAUACUCUUUUCUCACUGGCUACUCCCAGAUCUGGGGCUCCUGUGUGGUUAGAAGUGCAGCAAAUUAACAUACAAACCCAAGUGAUUAAGUCUCUCCAGAAUUGGAUGGAAAACUUACCUAAAUUGCUGUUGUUGCUGCUGCUGCUGCUGCUAAGCCUGUGUGGAAGUUGUCAGUCUUUUCAAACAGGUGUUUAAAACAGGUAUUCCAGUUUUGUUUUGUUUUUUAAAGAUGAAAAUCACAAACCAUAAGAGACUCUUAAAAACUGAGAAUAAACUGAAGGUUGAUGGGGGGUGGGAGGGAGGG
rnacentral:lncRNA from 1 species